UGGAGCUCUAUACAGAUCAUGCUGGCCUU
rnacentral:piRNA from 1 species